rnacentral:lncRNA from 1 species
UUAAAAUAAGUUUUAAUAGACAUUUUUAAUAGGCUCAAGGUGCAGAGGCGGUGGUUAUGCUCGUUACACCGGCACGAGUGAGGACAUCAGUGGCCAUAUGAUCGAGUCCCCCCUCCAGGAGUUGGAGCGGAACAUCUCAACCUCUAUCCUGAAAUGUGCAGCACCCCAGCCCCCCGCCCCAUGAGGCGUUUAUCAUAAUCACCACAGGACUGGUCCAAGGAGCUCAAGGAUGAAGGUGCUCUGAACAUGAGGAAAUAGGUCACAGGGGUCUUAGGAACUUGUAUCUGUAGCCCAUGUUUUUUGAUGUGGAAAGAAGGGGGUGGGGGUGUUUAAUGCAACGCAACAAGUCUAAAGUAUGGUUGCCAGCGGGUUUCUUCUGUCAUCAAAUACUUGCACCUGGACACUUGCCCUAGCCGUUCUCUCUC